rnacentral:rRNA from 1 species
UACGAAGGUCCCGAGCGUUGUUCGGAAUCACUGGGCGUAAAGGGAGCGUAGGCGGCGCGGUAAGUCAGAUGUGAAAUCCCGGGGCUCAACCCCGGAACUGCAUCCGAUACUGCCGUGCUUAGAGGGUUGGAGAGGUAGCUGGAAUUCUUGGUGUAGCAGUGAAAUGCGUGGAUAUCAAGAGGAACACUCGUGGCGAAAGCGAGCUACUGGACAACACCUGACGCUGAGGCUCGAAGGCCAGGGUAGCGAAAGGG